CGAACCAGAGGCGGUGGGUGAGAUUCUCCCUCCCCUCCCCUGCCCUGCCCUGCCCUGGCCGCGCCCCCACUGUCUGGAGACCCCCUGACCGGCGGCCGGAGCGUGAUGCAAACCAAGCCAUUGCUCUGAAAGGAAAGCCUUCUGCUUGUGGUUGGGCAUAUUCCACUGCCUCUUCCAAAUAGGACCUCCACAGCCCCAAGAUCCAAGGCAGAUUGAUGAUCCCUGGGGAACGGGAGCAGGUGUGCUGUAGGCUAAGAGAUGCACCCAGGGGGCACAGGGUGAAUCCUGUUAGAGAGCUCCUGAAGCAGCUUCAAGGACAAGGACUGUCUCAGCUCCUGUCUUCCUGUGGCAGGUGUGAGCCCUGGGGCUCUCCACUGCCUGCUCUGUUUGGGGGCCGGAAAGGCACUAGGAGACUCCUUCUGCCCUGGGAAUGGAAGGAAACAGACUAGGACUAUUUUCUCAAAGAAAAGCAAAGAGAGCAGGAUGACAUGGCCCUGAAACCAUCUUUUCCUCUUGCCAUAAUGGACUGCCCCCUCCCAGUUAAACAGAAGCAGUGGAUCCUCUGCCUUGAACACCUUCCACCACUUUUAGAUCCUUUCCAUUCACAAGCAUAAACAUUUAUCUCCCCCUCACACUAAAGCUCGGGUGCCUGGCCCUAGCUAAUACAAAAGCUACUUUCAGACCCAAACAGGCCCAAUGCUCCUUGAACUGGGCUAGCAAGGAACGUAGUGGUCUCAGCUAUAUGCAUCAUUCCAAUCUCUUUCCAACUGGGCAACUGCUAUAGAGAAGAGGGAAGGCAACAGUGGUGCAAGUCUUCACUUACUGCUUCUGGUUUGGAUCAAGGAUACCUAGGUGGUAGUCUGCAUUAAGAAAAGCUAAAUAUGUGAGUUACCAUCAUAAUGUUACUUUUCCAUGUAAACGAUUGCUGUGGUUGCCAUGGGAUGUCCUGGGAUAACGAAUGAGAUGUUAAGUGUCCAUGAGGAUCUCUAUAAGAUGUGGUUUACACUAAAAUGUUGGAAAACCCAGAUUUUGGGUAUUUAAUGCCAGAUUAUAAAUAAUGAGUAACUGAAACUGUUAGUUUGGAUGGCACUAUGCUCAGCCUACACACACAAUGCUCUGCCCACCACAACCUCAAGAACUUUGGUUACGUCUUGCAGUCUCGUACAGCUGUCUUCAGCAGCACUGCUCCUGACCAGGUGGAGGGGUUACUUCAAGGUGACUCAAGACCCACCCCAGGACCAAGUGAAGAACCAAUCUAGACUCUCCAACUCAAAGCCCAUACCACAUGCUUUAAGAAAUAUGUGUUUGUUAGUAUGAGAUCUCUUUGGAACAGAAACAUGCAAGUGCUCUCCAGAAAGUGACUUAAUACAGCUUUAACCAGAGAGGCCAAAUGGUUCCCUAAGAAUGGAUUCCCAUCUCAUAGGAAAUGGAACAUACUGUGGCCUCGUAUGAGUGAUUCUCAUCUCUUUCCCAAAAGUUUAUAGAUAUAUUUUAGAGCUGCCACAAACAAAAGUUGACACCACUGCUCCAUUCUUCAAGUUAUAAGAGCUUGCAUCUUCCCUAACCAAUAGCCAUGGAUCAAGAGUGUCAGAUUAAAUUGCUUUGGCAGGUCUGCAACUCAAUAUUAAAUCAAGUAUUUUCUA